ACACCGGAAGAGGACGGACCUAAGAUGGCGGCCUCCAGGGGGCUGGGAAUAGCCGCUCAUGUCGGCUAACGGAGCGGUGUGGGGCCGCGUGCGAAGCCGCCUCCGCGCCUUCCCGGGCGGCCGCCUGAGUAAGGACUUCUGCGCGCGGGAGUUCGAGGCCCUGCGGAGCUGCUUCGCCGCUGCGCCAAGAAGACGCUGGAGGGAGGCUGUUAGGAGGGACUCUGAGCUUCACACCUGUCUGCUGCCAUGGGUGCAGAGCCCUAGUCCUGAUGGCCCCU
rnacentral:lncRNA from 1 species